rnacentral:rRNA from 1 species
UGGGGAAUUUUGGACAAUGGGGGAAACCCUGAUCCAGCCAUCCCGCGUGUGCGAUGAAGGCCUUCGGGUUGUAAAGCACUUUUGGCAGGAAAGAAACGUCGUGGGUUAAUACCCCGCGAAACUGACGGUACCUGCAGAAUAAGCACCGGCUAACUACGUGCCAGCAGCCGCGGUAAUACGUAGGGUGCAAGCGUUAAUCGGAAUUACUGGGCGUAAAGCGUGCGCAGGCGGUUCGGAAAGAAAGAUGUGAAAUCCCAGAGCUUAACUUUGGAAACUGCAUUUUUAACUACCGGGCUAGAGUGUGUCAGAGGGAGGUGGAAUUCCGCGUGUAGCAGUGAAAUGCGUAGAUAUGCGGAGGAACACCGAUGGCGAAGGCAGCCUCCUGGGAUAACACUGACGCUCAUGCACGAAAGCGUGGGGAGCAAACAGGAUUAGAUACCCUGGUAGUCCACGCCCUAAAACGAUGUCAACUAGCUGUUGGGGUCUUCGGACCUUGGUAGCGCAGCUAACGCGUGAAGUUGACCGCCUGGGGAGUACGGUCGCAAGAUU